UAGUCUGGGAUACCACUUGGAAACAGGUGCUAAUACCGGAUAAGAAAGNCAGAUCGCAUGAUCAGCUUUUAAAAGGCGGCGUAAGCUGUCGCUAUGGGAUGGCCCCGCGGUGCAUUAGCUAGUUGGUAAGGUAAAGGCUUACCAAGGCGAUGAUGCAUAGCCGAGUUGAGAGACUGAUCGGCCACAUUGGGACUGAGACACGGCCCAAAAAUCCUACGGGAGGCAGCAGUC
rnacentral:rRNA from 1 species